UGAGUAACCUGCCCUUGACUCUGGGAUAAGCGUUGGAAACGACGUCUAAUACCGGAUACGAGCUUCAGUCGCAUGACUAGGAGCUGGAAAGAAUUUCGGUCAAGGAUGGACUCGCGGCCUAUCAGCUAGUUGGUGAGGUAACGGCCCACCAAGGCGACGACGGGUAGCCGGCCUGAGAGGGUGACCGGCCACACUGGGACUGAGACACGGCCCAGACUCCUACGGGAGGCAG
rnacentral:rRNA from 1 species